AGAUAUUCUAGAGAUACUGUUCCCUCCUUUUGGCUAUCAAGCGAUUGAAACAAUGGUCCCCAACGGAUUGUAAUUUCUCCUGGAAACUUGGAAUUUCUCCUGAAAUCUGAUGCCAGCCAUAGAAGGAAUGUAUCUCCCAAGAAGAGAUUUCACGCAGUUCUAACAACUUCUUGGACAGUCUGGCUGGCAAGACAAGCUGAGUGAAAGACAGGAACCCACCCCGACCAGACCUGCUGAACGACGGAUACCUCUCAGUCUCUAUUUACACGGCAAGGAUAGACUUGGGAGUGGAAGACUGGACUUCUUGACAAGAACUUUUGCUCCAAAAAUAAACCUGAGGAUCCAAAGUGCUGAGUUCAGAAAACAUGUUUAUGAUCUUGAGUGACAAAUGGGGUCUGACUGGAUUUCAACAGCCAGUGCUGGGGCCAAAGAGGACAUAGGAGGAGUCUGAAUCCUUAUUGCUGUUCCUUGAUUUGUGUUUACUGAGCACAAGCUACUUCUCCACACAGGAACACCUUUACAGUAUCCUAGGCUAAUAGCUAUAUCAUUGCUACUGGACUCCUUCAGAUAACAGUGUGUCUGAUUGACUCAUCAUUAGUUGUCUAAAGAAGCCUCUAGUUGUGGAGAACCUACACUGUCUGUUAUGGAAUGCUUCUAGGGAAGAAGUGGUCACGAGUAGGCAGAAUUGCACAUCGUGAUGGAUAAUGUUGAAGUGUACACUGAGAAGUAGUGGAAACUUUGUUCUACUGAUGAGAAUCUAGAAAAACCUUUUCCUACCAGAUACUAGCUUGGAGCUCACAAGGCUGGAAAAGUUCUUGAAGAUCUCUUCAGUUGUUCAUAAGGCCUAAUAAAACCAGGUAUGUUUCUUUAAUAAGACUGAAGGGAAAAACUAAAAUAGGUAAUUUAGAAACUACUUAUCUUCUCAGGUAAGAGUGACUCUUAAUUGUGAUUAACAGUAAUUUUUUCAUGAUAUUCUUAACUCAAAAGAAAUUUUUGACCAUUCUGUUUAUCCUCAUUUAUUUCAAAACAAUAGAAUAAUAAAAAUUCAUAUGAUGUGGGAGAGAUGAUGCCAGUUUUCUCUAGAAAAAUUAGAUUGUCUUGCAUUGAUGUUGUGGCUAUUUCGGAUGCCUUGCCCCACGGUUUUCAGACUGGAGCUGGCCAGAUAUUCUAAACAGCACUUAAGACCCAGUUCCUAUCAUUCUAGUUUCAUUUGGUUGUGGAUUGUCAUAGAAACUCUUAGGACAAGAUGGUGAGCCAUGUGUAAUUCUGGGCUCACAACUCAGGUGAUAUUAUUUGACUACAACAUGUGCUAUCUGGACACCAGGUUUCAAUAUUGCCAAUAUCAUUUGUUAAUGUUGUUUGUCAAAUAACCAAGAGUUCCAUGUCCCAAGAGACUAUGUUUUUACUCAAUUUUGUUUAUUAGUAGCAUUACUACUCUGAUACAUAUUGAGUGAAUUCAUGCUAUCAUAAACUUUGAUGUUAAUAAGUAAUUUGCAUUCUGGGUAAACAAAGACCAAAAAUAUAGGGAUACAGUGCUGUGGGACGGUCUGUAUGUCAAAUUGCUCUAAUUGGUCAAUAAAUAAAACACUGUUGGCCAGUGGCCAGGCAGGAAGUAGGUGAGACAAGGAGAGAAGAGAAUUCUGGGAAGCAGA